CAUAAGGAGUCAGCUCCCGUCUCCUCUGUGCUGAGUCACAAGGAUCGCAGCUCGAGGAAGCUGGAGAUGACUUGUGAUG
ensembl:miRNA